AUGGACACCAAUAGUGCCCCUGGACCCGAUAAUAUUCCAGCAGAGUUCUAUCGAUUCUAUUGGGAUGUUGUUAAAGAUGAUAUUAUGAACUUGUUUAAGGCCUUUCAUGAAAGGACGCUGGAUGUAGAGAGAUUGAAUUAUGGGACUAUUACCCUGAUUCCUAAAAUUAACGGGGCCAAAAAAAUCCAAGAAGUUCGACCUAUUUGUCUUUUGAGAUGCCCUUAUAAGUUGAUCACCAAAGUUUUGGAUAACAGGGUUGCUGUGUUUGCUUACAAACUUAUCAGUCGCCACCAAAAUGCUUUUAUCAAGAAACGUAAUAUCCUGGAUGGGAUCCUGACAUUGCACGAAAUUCUACAUCAUACUCAUGUCAAGAAGAAAACAGGAAUUGUCCUGAAACUUGACUUUGAGAAAGCAUAUGAUAAGGUUAACUGGGAGUUUUUGCUUGAAUGCCACAAGAUGAGGGGCUUCAACACAAAAUGGUGUGAAUGGUUGGAGAAAAUUCUUCAUAAUGGCACAGUUAGUGUCAAAAUUAAUAACACCACGGACCCUUACUUCCAAAGUCAUAAGGGGGUCCGACAAGGGGACCCCAUGUCCCCUUUUCUUUUUAACAUUGUUGCUGAGUGUCUUACUAAGAUGAUACUUAAUGCCUAG
rnacentral:rRNA from 1 species